GACACUGUGCGUGACGUCACGGGACGCUCCACGUGUCGCUUGUUUACAGCGAGUCUGAGGAGCAGAGAUUGUGAAAGUGUUCCUGGAUUGAGUUUCACUGCUGCUCUUCAUAUUUAGAUCUUCAUCAGAGUCGGUGAGAAUCACCAGCACACGAUAUUAGAGAGAAGAAUGUUCCAGAUGGUUCAGUUCUUAGUUCCCUCGGGGCCCAAGAGACCCGGUAACAUCAGCCUAUCUCCCCAGAGCCGACAGAACCGGACUCGGACCGCUUCCAAUGAGUUUCUGCAACACGUCCGGAGAGUCAGCGGCCUGAAACAGCAGGACGUGUUUUAUAAGCUGCGUGUCCCAAACCAGAGUCAGAGCGACAGAGACGAGAUCCACCUGCUGCUGCUCACAGGUCACGGAGUGUUCUGCAUCGAUCUGAAGACGUGGAGCGGCUCUGUUUCGGUCGCGAGUGAGGCUCAGGUCAGAGCGGAGCAGCAGAACUUCACCAGCGUCUCCAUCGAGCAG
rnacentral:lncRNA from 1 species